rnacentral:rRNA from 1 species
CCCUUAGAUGUUCUGGGCCGCACGCGCGCUACACUGACGAAUGCAACGAGCUUAUAACCUUGGCCGAAAGGUCUGGGUAAUCUCCAAAUUUCGUCGUGAUGGGGAUAGAUUAUUGCAACUAUUAAUCUUCAACGAGGAAUGCCUAGUAAGCGCAAGUCAUCAGCUUGCGUUGAUUACGUCCCUGCCCUUUGUACACACCGCCCGUCGCUCCUACCGAUUGAAUGGUCCGGUGAAGCGUUCGGACCGUGGCCUUUGGACGGUUCGCCGUCUGUUGGCUGCGGGAAGUUCGUUAAACCUUAUCAUUUAGAGGAAGGAGAAGUCGUAACA